rnacentral:rRNA from 1 species
GUGAGGAAUAUUGGUCAAUGGGCGGGAGCCUGAACCAGCCAAGUCGCGUGAAGGAAGAAGGAUCUAUGGUUCGUAAACUUCUUUUGCAGGGGAAUAAAGUACGGUACGUGUACCGUUUUGUAUGUACUCUGCGAAUAAGGAUCGGCUAACUCCGUGCCAGCAGCCGCGGUAAUACGGAGGAUCCAAGCGUUAUCCGGAUUUAUUGGGUUUAAAGGGUGCGCAGGCGGGUUGAUAAGUCAGCGGUGAAAGUUUGCAGCUUAACUGUAAAAUUGCCGUUGAAACUGUCGAUCUUGAGUGCAAAUGAGGUAAGCGGAAUGUGUUGUGUAGCGGUGAAAUGCUUAGAUAUAACACAGAACACCGAUUGCGAAGGCAGCUUACUGGGAUGCAACUGACGCUCAUGCACGAAAGCGUGGGGAUCAAACAGGAUUAGAAACCCGGGUAGUCC